rnacentral:lncRNA from 1 species
GCCGACGCCCCGUGGGCUGACAGGUGGGGCUCGGUCGUCUCCGGCUCCCGCGCGGCACGGGCGGGUCACCCUCACCCACCGGGUUCACGCAUUUUGGUUUGUCCGGCUGGUUGUUUGGGCCGUGGUUUUUCAUGUGAUUUGGGUUUGAAUUUAUCCGUCGUCGGGCGCGCAACGGUCACGCGGCGACGAGGUUGGGUUGGUGUUUGUGCGUGUGCGUGUGUGCUGUUACUCACUCACCGGUUUGGGAGUGUACGUUGCGUCCAAAAGGAAUCCGUGGCGGCCUCGGCAGGGCAGUAAUGCCAAUUUAAGCAUUUCGGCCCAUGCCCCGCCUACCGCAAGAGGACAACCUAAUGUUGGCGUUGCUGCUAUGUAUAGAUAGCUGGCUGCCUUGGCUGACUGCACUAGUUUUUCUCAGACGUUCAAGUCGAAAUGUUGCUGUGUUUUCUUUCAAUAGGUUCUGGGCCAUACAGUCGUACUAUUAUUUGUUGACGUGCAACUGGCUAUAGCUUUCUUUUGCUGGACAAACGUGGCACCAUUAUUUGUUUAUGCAGAGGCUACAGGAAAAAAAUUGUGGCAAUCAUUGCUCAAAAUGACCCCUCUGACAGUAUGCGACCCUUCAAGAUGACUGUGUGGCCUUCAGCGACGCACUGAUGUUUUACCGUUUGGCCUAUUGAAUUUUACGGGAACCCGGGAUAGAAACUGUUCGGUUGCAAUAUAGAAAAAUGCAAAUAAUAACAAUAAUCCUAGUACCAAGAUUAGGUGUAUUUCACAUAAACAAAGGAAAAAAAACAAGAGAUCAGACUCAAUGUAUUUUUCUUCUUCUAUGGGACUGCAUACAAAGUCAUUGAAAGAUUCGUAUACAUUGUAAUCCAACAAACCAAAUUUGAUUUUUGGGAAGGGAAAAGAAACUGUUAUAGGAUCCGCCAUGUUUCUGAGAAGUUACUCGUUGGCAUUUUCGUCAUGUCAGCCUACAAAUAAGGUUAUCACCAAUUACAAAGGAAAAGAGGUGGUGGCUGGUUUUGGUACAAGUAAUACUGUUGUGAGGUCCAGAGAGGUGUGGCAGCCGCCUCCUUUUGGCCACAUCAAGAUCAAUGUCGAUGCAAGUUUUGUGGAGAGUUUAAGUGCCGCGAGCGUUGGGGUGGUGGCCAGGAGUUGUACGGGUGAUAUUAUUGUCUUAUCUUGGGACUUCAUUGGGUUAUGCUCUGGUGUGGAUGAAGCGGAGCUUCGAGCAUGCCUAGCUGAGCUUUAUAUCGGUAUUUCUCUUAACAUGCCUAUUAUUUUGGAAACUGAUUGUGCGUUCGUGGCUUCUUUCCUAGCAAAUGAAAGUUGUGACAGAUCCUCGCUCAUAGACCUCAAGAAGGAAGCACUUAGCAUCAUCAGACUUCUGGGAAACUUCAAGUUGUCAAAAAUAAACAGAAGGGCCAAUUCAGUAGCACAUGAGAUUGCUAAAUUUAGUUUCAAUAAUAGAUGUGAUGGUUUUCUUUUUAAUAAUUUUCCGCCCCGUGUGGCGCAUGCUGUUAUGAACGAUUGUAACGGCGUUUUAAUUAAUUAAUAUAUGGACGGGUGUUUUUCAAAAAAAAAACCAAACAUGAGAUAUGUAAAAAAGAUUCUAAGGAAUAAAUUCUUCAAAAUCCAUAUAAAAUUCAUUUGAACCAAACAAGUCGUUACCAUAUGCUUUUAGAAAUUAAAUCACAUGAAUAGGUGAAUUUUAAUAGCAUCUGAUUCUAGAAUGGGCAAAUUUUUAUCAUCUUACUGGUGCCCUUACAUAGAUUUUACAAAACAAAUCACACAUAUUAGUGAAUUUUAUUAUGCUUUUGAAAAAGGAUCCAUAUAUUAAUUAUUAAAUAAUGGUUUUGGGAGGUUUGUAUUUUCAUAGGGGUCCUUAUACUAAUCAGGGGCCAUACAUUAAUUAUUAAUCUUACUAGAGAGUAGUGCUCCACCCUGCGUAAAGUUUUCGGAGGUUUCCAAAUUUUGUAUUUAAAAAUGAAUUUUGAUUUAUUUUCUUAGUCAAAGCGGAACUGCGUUUCCUAUUAAUGUCAUCUUUAACUUAAGAUUGAGUUGCAUUGAACUUUUGGUACAUGUCUUUAUUUGUGUGUCUUUCACUAGAUAAUUGCUCAUGUUGCAACGGAUGGAUAAAUAUUCUAUUAUGAUAAAUAUUUGCUACCAUCAGUGAUAGUUACCACCACUUGCAUUUUGUAUAUGAGUAAAAUGCAUCACUGGCGGCGGCCUCGGAUAGCGAUGCAACGGUGGCUCUAUGGGGCAGAGUCGCGGUUGUGCAUUGUUUCGGUGGCGGCUUGGUGAUGCGUGGGUAGCGAGGUCGUCGGCCUGGUCGAUGCGCCCUAGAGGGGGCGAUUUGACUGUACGUCGGGGCGGCGGCCCCGGAUGUGGUGCGACGUUCAUGGUCUGCGGGCGGUUGCCCUGAGCAGUAAGGGCUGCGGGCAGCUGGGUUGUGCGGCGUUGCUGCUCGAGGGGAGCGGUGGUAUGUCGGGGCGGCGGCCCCGGAAGGUGGUGCCGGUUGAUUGCGCUGGGCGCGACGGAGCGGUGGAUGUCGGGGCGGCGGCCCCGAGAGAAUCACUGUGGCGGCCAGACUUCUGUGGCAACGAUGAUGGUGGGAGCGAUGUCGGCGACGUGGCAAUGGUUGCGAUAGUCGGCUCUUCUCCGGCGUGUCCACGGUAUUGCCUCGGUUUGUUUGUUGCUGUGGAGUCGAAGCUGCGGCGGCGGGGCCCUGUGGUGUACGAUGACUGGCUGCAGGUGGCCCUUUCGGCGAUUUUCCGUGGCGCCAGCCGUGCCUGGUUUCGUUCUUCUGAGUUCUUCAUCAGAGUCGAAGCUGCGUUGUCUGGUCGCAGGUCGACAUGUUGUCGAUAAGGGUGGGCUUUGCCCUGUGUGUCUCAGUCUAUGGGAGUGGGCUUGGCCCUUGUUGUUCCGGUUUUUGGCCGGUUUUCCGUAAUUAACUGAGCAAUUCUCUUCCGCUUAUUUAAUAGAUGAGGCAAUCUUUGCCUCCGUUUCGAAAAAAAUGCAUCAUUGGUCAUUGUACUUGUGUCGAAAGUUCACUUUGGUCAUUGUAUUUAGAAAUACAAUCAAUACGGUCACUAAAUACGACGUAAGGUGAUUAUAUGGUCACUAGCUCACCGUAUAGUUUCGUAUAACCAGUCAAACUGCCUAUGUGGCAAAUAAGCAGCAUAGUCAGCCAACGUUCUGUCUCUACCUUUAUGCCGGUCCCACCUGUCAGUGAGUUGAAUGAAAAAAAAGCAUAGUAAAAAUUAUAUUAGCCAGUGGGGAUUCAGACCAGGGACUUGUCGCUAGCGCCCAAACGAGCUAGCCAAUUGAACCAGCUGAACAUUGUGCUAAAUAUGUACAGCGCGUCCUUAUUAUUAUAACAUGCACCACGCAUGCACACACCCGCCGAGACGCACACAACACGUAUGUGCACACUCUGUAGCAGCCUAGCACACACAGCAUGCACGCAUGACAUACCGGAGGCCGCCGGAUCGUGCUCCGACAGCCGGGCCGCUGGUGCGUGCACACACCACGACGAGAGCGACCGGUGUGGAUGUCGCCGUUGUCGUCCAUGUGGCCAUCUUACAUGGGAACGAGAUCCUCUAACGUAGUAGGAAUUACUGCAGAGGGACGUAGAUGUCUAGCGCCCGUGGAUGUCUCAUCCGAUGGCUGGAAGCUGGAAUGUAGCAAGCGCCCUAGCAAUGCAUGAAGCCAUGCGGCCCAUAGCGUAAGACCAACUCCAACGCAUACCCCCAAAUUGGUCCGACCGCGUCCGUUUAGGCCCAAACGGACAGGCGAGCCGACCCAACGCGCAUCUCCAUUGUCAAAAUGUGUCUGUUUUUUGUCCGGCCCGACCCAUUCCAGACGUAUACUUGAGCGAGCUUUAUGGUCACGCGGACAACGAACGGACGAGCACCUGGCAUCUCGGCGUCCGCCUCAGGCCUGCGUGUCGGCCGUCCAACAACCACCCACCGACCCUAGUCAAUGCGCACGGGUGGUUGGGCCCGCAAGUUAGCCACCCAGACGCCCCCGGCCACGUCCUUUUUAUGGGGAAGUCGCGGACUUCCACUGCCACUUCCACUUCCCCGUCCCCAUCCACUUCCCCACCUUUGCCCCGAUACUGGGAGACCGGCACCCGCUGCCUUGGUCAGAUGCGCACCUCGCCAAUGGGUGGCAUUUGAGCCCGGAUCGGGUGCCCAUUCCCCCCGUCUCGUCGAGCGACCGUGCCCGCCUCCAGGAGAUCGCCCAUCGUCGUGCCAGGAUUCCACGCGAGCUCCUCUUCGGAGACGUGUACGUGCCGGAGUUGCACGUCAAGCAAGAGGUGAAGGAGGAGCCCAUAGAGGAGUGUGCAUGGGUGCCGUGGUCACCACCCCAGCAACGCCGCCCCUGCCGCCCGGCCCAUUCUGGGGGUCGCCGCCCCACCUCUAGACGCCCCUACCCUACAUCGACCUAACGAGCGACGACGAGGAUGGUGGCGCCUGAAGACGGCGGAUGCGACAACAUCGGCAGCGACGGUGACGGCUUCUUCGGCGCGCGGGGCACCCACAUUAUCACUUUUAUGUUUUUUUAAUUUAAUCUUAAGUUCUGUGCAUGGGCCGUGAGGACGGCGGACUAUUUAAUUAAGUUAUUUAUGUCUUAAGCUAUUCUACAAUGCAUUUUUUGGUUUUUCAAUGCUUUUUUGGUAUUUCUUUUAUUUACGUCUACCACGGACAAGUUAGGGACGUGGCCGCGCGUUGGGUGCCGCGACACUAGGCCGGCCCAAACCGAACAUGCGCGUCCGUUUUCCCGUUCCAAACGGACCAAAUCCGGAUCAAACGGCGUUCAUUUGGGGUCGAGCAUUGGAGUUGCCCUAAGGGGAAAAAACUUCAAUCUCCGUGGCUAUUCGCUCAUUGUCGCCAUUGCUCGCGCUCGACGCCGCCGCGAAACCGAGCUUCGCAGCAAGAGGGAGGGAGGGUGACUGUCGGUGCCAUGUCCACACCUAGCUGCUCAUUCAAAUUUGUUCAUGUACGAAUAGCAAUUGGAAGCUCUAAAGCGUGGUGCAGCCGACCAUGGCUGUGGAGACGGGAGUGCAGUCAUCGUGCUACGUGCUGUGGCGAUUGAUGAGGAAUUUCUAGCUGACAUGUUUUUUUUACUUCUCAAGGUGAUUGGGCUGCUUAUGGGCCAUGCAACCAACGCUGCUGAUUCUCGUUUGCAGAUCCCACCGUCGGAUGGCUCAUGAACGGGCGAUACGUAUAGGACGUCCCUCUGCAGUAGUUUGUAGCUACGUUAGAGGACCCCGUUCCGGACGAGACAACUAUCUACCACAUUCAAACUGGUUGUCCGUCUGUCGGCCUACCGGCAUUAGAUAGGCGCGGCGGCCGAGAAACAAACUCUGGUGCUCUCAAUGAAAUAGUCCGCCACUUGGCCUGGCCGAAGCCCGCUUUUGUACGUGGCCAUGCCUGGCAUGAUCCGCACAACACCACGUCCGCUUCCUUUCCUCCUCCAUGCACCACCUCCGCCCUGACCGCAAGCUCUAGGGCGAUGUGGGAGAGCCUCUACACAAAGCAGAAGCAUGAGUUGGUCGUCCCUGUAGCCAGCUAACAAGCCCGUCAUGCGCAGCGGAUAGAGGCCAACUUGCCAGUGAGUUCACCGGUGAGCUCACCGGAGGUAAGCGACCACGACCCCAUGAGGGAGGAGGCGUUCGACGAUGAGCCGACGCCCCCGCCCGCACCCAUGCAUAACUGCUUCACUAUGGAGCAGGCGCAGGAGGAGCAAUGCUACGACUUACCCCUCCUCGCGCAUCAUCGGCUGGUGGAGGGCUAGAUAUACGCCAAGUUCGCGAGCGAGGAGGCCAUGGAGGUUAUGGCCAAGGAGAACCAUAACUUCGUCACCGAGCAGCGGGCGCUCUACUAGGCCGCACACAAAGCUCAUGCUGACUGCAACAUGGUCGCAACGCCGGAAGCGCAGGCGAUUGCGGAUGUGAACACUAGAAGUUGCGCACCAUUCGUGUCACCCGCAUAGUUCAUGGGCCCGCUACGUCCACGAGGCCAACCCAUUCACGUCCAUCAUGGACAUCACCUCCACCGGCAACGUUUAGGUCGCAGACUCGGACGAGGAAGAGUGUGACAUGAGAGACGAAGGUGUGUGUGUCCCAUGUGGGUACUUCCAUGUCCCAUGUAUUACUCUUCCUCACCAGUGACUUGCAACUUCACUUCCCGAGGCUCAUGGCCGACGAGGAUGCCAAAACACGGGGAACAACAAUGAUCCCGAUGAAGAUUUAGACUAGGUUAACUUCUAGACGCUUUUGUUUAAUCAAAUAUGUCGAAAAUGUUAUGAAUAUGAUUCAGUUUAAAUGAAAAUCAUUCAGUUUACGUGAAUAUCAUAUGGUUUGUUCAAAUUCCUAUUGAAAUGUAUGUAGAUGUUUGAGGUACAUGGUUGGAUGGUAGGCUCUCGCAUGACUAUCUGCGGAUGCAUCCACGUGUAGAUACUGUCAGGGUUAUAAAUAAUGGGUAGGCCGAGGUAUACGAAUGGCCCACCAAAAGGCCAUAGUCCAUCGGAAAUAUGGCCCAGAAGAUCACGGGCAGGAGGCAACAUUGCUAGCACAUCAAAGGAUAUGAGGGUGGCUUAGGAGUAGGCCAAGUCCCUACAGUCGGAUGUUGAGCCACCUGAUAACUAUGACCCAACAAUUAGUCAGGGAGAUGACGGGAGCAGUCGGCGAGGGAGUCCUGGACUAUGGGGUCCUCGGGGAGCCGGCCUAUGUGACAUGGGCCGGACUGAUGGGCCAUGAAGAUACGAGAUAGAAGGCCUUCUCCCGUGUCCGGAUGGGACUCUCCUUUGCGUGGAUGGCAAGCUUGGUGUCCGGAUGUAUAGUUUCCUUCCUCUAUAAACCGACUUUGUACAACCCUAGUCCCCUCCGGUGCCUAUAUAAACUGGAGGACGUAGUCCGUAGAGAGGAGAACAAUCAUACAGGCUAGACAUCUAGGGUUUAGCCAUUAGGAUCUCGAGGUAGAUCAACUCUUGUAACCCCUAUAUUCAUCAAAGUCAAUCAAGCAGGAAGUAGGGUAUUACCUCCAUUAAGAGGGCCCGAACCUGGGUAAACAUCAUGUCCCCUGCCUCUUGUUACCUUCGAUCCUUAGACGCAUAGUUCGGGACCCCCUACCCGAUCUGCCGGUUUUGACACCGACAUUGGUGCUUUCAUUGAGAGUUCCACUGUGCCGUCGUUAGAAGGCUCGAUGGCUCCAUCAAUCAUCUACAACAAUACCGCCUUGAGGGAGACUUUUCUCCCUGGCCAAAUCUUCGUAUUCAGCGGCUUUGCACUGCGCGCCAACUCGAUUGGCCAUCUGGAGCAGAUCGAUAGCUACGCCCCUGGUCAUCAGAUCAGUUUUGGAAAUCUGAACUACGUCGCUGACAUCCGAGGAGGCUUGAUCUUCCAAGGGUUCGCGGUCCCAAUCACCGCUCUGGCCUUAGAUCCGGAGCGCACCGCCAGGUCCGAAGACGGGAAUUUAAAACCCGCCGGACUCCCUGCAGCUAUAGAACCUGACACCGGAGAACCGGAGGGGAUUGCAUCACCGGCAGGCCUGGAGUCACGCCAAGCACCUUCUAUUCGCAUGGAGCCGGACUCGACUCCGGACACCAACUCCGAACUCUUGAGAUCCGCAUCAUAUGAGCUUGGCCAGGGAACUUCUGUACCGCCCUGCUCCAUGGACUCUCGCUUCCUUGUCCAAACCUCACUCUUAAACAAGGCCCUGGACUUAAUGCAGCCUCUCGCCAUUGCAGAAGGAUCGCUGCCAAACUACGCCCAGCCCACACUAGGGGCUGAGAGCAGGGAAUUUUACGUCCCACCCACCACCCACUUCAUAGCUACUGUCGAGACUUAACCAACAUGCUCGAUUACGCCUCCGAAGACAUCGACGGUAUGGACGACGAUGCCGAAGAGGAGCAAAGCCAGAACUCGCCAUUUAUCGGACGCUGGACGACCACUUCCACACAUGACGUGUACAUGGUGGACACACCCAAAGAGGAUGACGGCGAUGGUGGUAAGGAUCCACUUGAGGACAAGCCUCCCGUGGCACCACCAAAGCGUCGACAUCAGUGGCGCCGCUCGAAAUCGCGUCGUGAAAAAGACAGUAAUACCGGCACCGGAGACAACAACACUCCAGAUAACGCCGAAGACCAAGAAGCCCCUAUAAAACCAACAUCCGAGCAUGAUGAUUGGGACGAUGGGCAAGUCAACCCCGACGAUCCUAUCGGGAACGAGGGCCCGGAGGAUAGUAACUACUUACCGAUCUCCGAAGAGGACAAGAGCCUCGGCCAUGAAGAUUUCAUCAUGCCAGAGGACCCCCUCGAACAAGAGCACUUUAAGCGCCGCCUAAUAGCCACUGCAAGAAGCCUGAAAAAGAAGCAGCAGCACCUUCAAGCUGAUCAGGAUCUGCUCAAUGACAGAUGGACUAAUGUCCUGGUAGUAGAGGAAUACAGCCUCAAAUGCCCAACUAAGAGCUACCAGAAGCACAAGCUACUACCCCAAUUCGAUGAUGAGGCCCCAGAGCCUAUACCGACAACGUGUAAAGCUGCCAACGAACCUGACCGACCACCACGUGGCCAGGACAGAGUGGCAACUCAAGCCGAACACCAGCCUGCACCACCCUGCCAUAAAGGCAGAGAGACAGCGGCUGCGGGAUACACUUACGACCUACGACCGGACCUGGAUAAUAGAGCCGGUCAGACCAGAUCAAUCUAUGGAUCAAUGGGGCGUGCCCCAGCGCGAGAAGACGGCCAUCAGGCCUGGCGCGACAAGCACACCUUCACCCAGGCCGAAAGACACAUACGGACUCCAUCCGAACUGCGUCGUGACGUUGCUCGAUACAGAGGCGUCGCGCACACCCUGUGCUUCACCAAUGAGGUGAUGGAGCACCAGUUCCCAGAAGGGUUUAAACCCGUGAACAUUGAAUCAUACGAUGGCACAACGGAUCCCGCAGUAUGGAUUGAAGACUUUCUUCUCCACAGUCACAUGGCUCGCGAUGACGAUUUGCACGCCAUCAACUACCCCCCCUAGAACUUAAGGGACCAGCUCGGCACUGGUUAAACAGCCUCCCAGAAAACUCUAUUCGAAGCUGGGAAGACCUGGAGGAUGCCUUUAGAGACAACUUCUAAGGCACUUAUAUCCGGCCUCCGAACGCCGAUGACCUCAGUCUCAUAGUCCAGCAACCUGGAGAGUCAGCCAGAAAAUUCUAGACCCGAUUCCUAAUUAAAAAGAACCAAAUUAUUGAUUGUCCGGACGCCGAGGCUCUAGCAGCCUUUAAACACAUCAUUCGCGACGAAUGGCUCGCCCGACACCUCGGCUAAGAAAAGCCGAAAUCCAUGGCAGCCCUCACAUCACUCAUGACCCGCUUUUGCACAGGCGAAGAUAGCUGGCUAGCCCGUAGCAGCAACAGUACCAACGACCCUGGCACUUUUGAAACCAGAAACAACAACGGCAGGCCCCGACGCAAUGAAAACAAACGUCGGAACAACACUGACAAUGCCGAAGACACGACAGUGGACGCCGGAUUCAGUGGCUCCAAAGCCAGUCGGCGGAAGAAGCCAUUCAAAAGAAACAAAGAUGGUUCAUGUAGCCUGGAUCGAAUACUCGAUCGACCUUGCCAGAUUCACGGCACCCCUGACAAACCUGCCAACCAUGCCAACAGAAGUUGUUGGGUUUUUAAACAGGCUGGUAAAUUAAACACCGAGCACACGGGGAAAGGGUCGCCCAGCGAGGAUGACAACGAGGAGCCUCGCCCACCGAACUCAGGGGGACAGAAGAAAUUUCCCCCCGAGGUCAAAACGGUGAACAUGAUAUAUGUUACUCACAUCCCCAAGAGGGAGCGCAAGCGCGCGUCAAGGGACGUCUAUGCAAUAGAGCCAGUCGCCGCAAAAUUCAACCCAUGGUCAGCAUGCCCGAUGACUUUCGUUCACAGAGACCAUCCGACCAGUAUCCGUCAUGGAGGUUCAGCCGCGUUGGUCCUCGACCCAAUUAUCGAUGGAUUCCACCUCAUGAGAGUCCUAAUGGACGGCACCAGCAGUCUUAACCUGCUCUAUCAGGACACAGUCUGCAAAAUGGGUAUUGACUCGUCAAGAAUCAAGCCCACCAAAACUACCUUCAAAGGAGUAAUACCCGGUGUAGAGGUCCGCUUCACGGGCUCAAUCACAUUGGAGGUCGUCUUCGGUUCGUCGGACAACUUCCAAAGCGAAGACUUGAUCUUCGACAUCGUCCCUUUCCGCAGCGGCUAUCACGCACUGCUCGGACGAAUUGUGUUUGCCCGCUUUAAUGCGGUCCAGCACUAAGCCUAUCUAAAACUCAAGAUGCCAGGACCAUGCGGUGUUAUAACAGUCCAUGGAAACAUGGAUCGCUCCCUCCGUACCGAGGAACACACCGCGACCCUCGCCGCGGAAGUAUAGGUCGACCUUAUCAAGCCAAACUCCACAUCGGCAGUCAAGCUCCCGGACCCUGUCAAACGAGUCCGGACUACCCUGCAGAAUGACAGUCUAGCUUGUCAGGAGCUCGAUUAGCAAUUCGGCCUCUGUCUUAGCCCGAACCGACCUGCGGCAUAUGUACUGCGUGCACAUAACUACGCACUCAACGUACCAUGUGCGAUGAUGGAGGCAUAUCAAGGAUAAAAUCCACAAUACGGCUCGACUGUACCUGGACCCUCAUAUAUACCUUUUACUUAUCUUUGUUCCUUCCAGGUUCCCUACAACCCACAUCACCUUUUUUAUGGUGCCAAGGGCCCUUUUCCCGACCCCUUAUGAAAACCUGCUCAUUAAUCCUCUCAAAGGAUCACACACCAAGGGGAAAAGCAGCGCAGAUGUAUGACAGAGUACCUAAAGGAUCUUCAAAGAUCACCUCUUCCCCUUUUUAGUACCUGUACACAGCUUUCCCUUGUGCUCGGAAUGUAAAAUAGCCUCUAUGCUUAUAACAUUAUCUGUACAAAUACGUUUUGACAUAUCAAUCAGACUAUAAUGGAAACAGUUUUUUCGCCCAACCUAUUCGGUACUGGCUUAUUUCCUAAUCUUUAUUCCCUUUUUUUUUCUUUCGUCUGAUUGUCAUGUACACCUUGGCACGACUUAAAUCGCCAGGGGCUCCAUUUAGCCAUGUACAUUCCUUAAAAAUAAACAUAAGUCCGAACACGAACAGCUCGGCGUCCCGAAUCUAGCAUUAUAUGCAUCGGUUCCGAAUCAUGUCUUGGGAAAAUAGUUGGGUUGCCCGGCUCCUGUGGUUACUACCUUACGUUCUGAUUGUUCGGCUAAGGAAGUAAAGGGAGAACUACUGCGAUUUUGUUUCUGGUUCAUCCGGAUAAACACCUCAGUAGAGAAAGCCGAAAACUUACUGUCAUGAUGCGGCGAGAGCUGGUUAGCUAUUCAGUGACUAAGUAUAGUUCUCUUGCGAUUUUUUCCGUGUCACAUGAAGGACCGGUUUUCACCUGGUCAGGCGUCUACAACAACCAAGUUCGGAUAACCGAACAAUACCAGGGGCUGCGCCUACAAUCUUCUUGUCAAACUCCUAUGGCUAAGUGAGAGUGAUAAAACCGCAUAGUCUGAUUGCCUGGUUCGCCGCACUAACACCUCCUUCAAGGACCAAGUCGUUGAGUUAAGUGUAUUUUUGUGCUGCUCCGAACACCCCCAUACUAUCUAUGCAAGGAGCUGAAGCCAAAGACUGGCCAACUCUCAAAUUCAAUAAACGGCCGCAACGGAGGGAAAAAUAAUUGAGAUGAAACAAGAAAUAUAUUACACAAAUGACUUGUUUUCAUAAAUACAAAGUUCGGGCAGCACAGAUACAUUCAUUCAAAAAUUAUGUCCUUCGAACACUGGCCCUCUACAAUGCGGGAUCCUUCCAGGACGUUGUUGAAAUACCGCCCCGACGUACGGUGCUCCUUGCCUGCGGUCGGUCCCUCGGUUGCAAUAUUAGUUGCAUUCAUCUUCGCCCACUGCACCUUGACACAGGCGAAGGCCAUCCGGGCACCUUCGAUACAGACUGACCGCUUUAUUGCGUCAAGCCGUGGGCAGGCAUCGACUAGCCGCUUCACAAGCCCAAAGUAGCUAUCGGGUAUGGGUUCGGCUAGCCAAAGACAGACUAUAACAUCCUUCAUGGCCAGCUCGGCCACCCUAUGUAGCUCGGUCAACCGUUUCAGCUGAUCACUGAGGGGCACAGGAUGCUCUGGCGCAAGGUACUGCGACCAGAACAACUUCUCUGUUGAGCUCCCCUCUUUCGCUCGGAAGAAAUCUGCAGCAUCAGCAACACUUCGGGGUAGAUCCGCAAACGCUCCUGGAGAACUCCAAAUGCGUGUCAGUAAGGUGUACUGUCUCCUUACAAUUUUUCUCUACAUAUUAAAGGCCUUACCCGCCGCGAUCUGCUUGGCCUCUCGGAUCUCCCGACAGGUGAUGUCGCUUGAAGCUUCGCUGGUAUUUCCCCAAAGAGGAAGGGAUGAUGCAACACAUCGGUGGUAGCUAUUUCCCUCAGAUAUGAAACCAAGGUUAUCGAACCAGUAGGACAAGCAAGCAACACAACGUAAACAUCCCCUGCACACAAAGAACAACACCUUGCAACCCGACGUGUUAAAGGGGUUGUCAAUCCCUUUUGGGGUACGGCGCCUCAAGAUAGGCAAAGGCGUGAGGUAAAUUUGUAGAUGGGAUAAAUAGAUAGCUGAACAAAUAAAUUGCCGCAAGGUAUUUUUGCAUUUUUGGUUUAAUAGAUCUGAAAAUAAACGCAAGGAAAAACUAGAUCGCAAGGCAAAUAUAUGAGAAAGAAGACCCGGGGGCCGUAGGUUUCACUAGUGGCUUCUCUCGAGAAAAAUAGCAAACAGUGGGUGAACAAAUUACUGUUGGGCAAUUGAUAGAACUUCAAAUAAUCAUGACGAUAUCCAGGCAAUGAUCAUUACAUAGGCAUCACGUCCAAGAUUAGUAGACCGACUCCUACCUGCAUCUACUACUAUUACUCCACACAUCGACCACUAUCCAGCAUGCAUCUAGUGUAUUGAGUUCGUGGAAAAAUGGAGUAAUGCAAUAAGAACGAUGACAUGAUGUAGACAAGAUCCGUUUAUCUAUUACGGCAGAUAUGGAUCCCAUCUUUUUAUCCUUAGUAGCAAUGAUACAUACGUGUCGGUUCCCUUUUGGUCACUGGGAUCAAGCACCGUAAGAUUGAACCCACUACCUGGCACCUCUUCCCAUUGCAAGAUAAAUAGAUCAAGUUGGACAAAAAAAAAC